rnacentral:lncRNA from 1 species
GGCUGUGGCCCAUCGCCCCAGUGCCUGAUUGGCAUCCUCUGCUUCUGCAGAAAACAUGGCUACCAACAGCUUCUGUAUCCACCUGCGGAGGAGACUGACUGCUCUGUUAUUCCCCCAGCAUCUGUGAAGAGGCUCUGACUGGCUAAAGUGAAGGAGUCUGUAGCUUUAGGGGAAGACAGAGCCACAAGAUGGAAGGAGCUUGGAUGUCUGAACUAUUCCAUGGAGAAAAGCUGCAGCCAACGAAGAACACCUGCAAUGGACUCUUAACCUGGGGGUGACGACAACCACUGAAAUAUGCUGCAUCUUAGUCCAGGGAUUUUUAAAGUGUGGUUCCUGGAAGAGCUGGAUCAGAGUCAUCUGUGUUGAUGGUUUAACAUAAAGAUUUUCGAGCCCCAAGACUCAAGUAGGACAAGGAAUUUGAAUUUUUAAGCAGCUCACCUGACUUGUCUGUCCUCUAAUGUCUGAAGACAUCUGACCUCUGCUCUUUCAGUAAAAGCAACAAUGGUUUUAUGAGCAUUGUCGUCACAUCUCUCCACUCAAGGGAUCCUUCUCAUUUCUCCCAGCUGAGGUCACCCACAGCUGCUGCUUCUAACUGCUGGCUUCCAGCCUGCUGUCUGCCAGCUGGCUCUACCCUCUCCUAUAACACGGCAGAGAGUAGCUGUGGUCUCCUGCGUGCUCACCCUCUGCUCCCUUGGUCCUGCUCCAUGCUUUGGUCCUGCACUUAAAUUUUACAAGCAUACUCUCUUUCUCUUAAGAUGAAGGAGCUGAGGCUGGAGAAGUUAAGAGACCCCUGCUAGAUAGGAAGGCACGUGAGAAGUAUACUGCUCUGUCUCCUGUGGAGUAAAAAGACUUUGGCGUUCUCAGAAGAAAACCAAAUGAGAUCACACGAAUGAGACUGCUGGAGCAAUCUAAUGCAAAUAUCUACUACAGAUUAUCAAAAGGAAAAAAAAAGGAGGUAAGUGAAAUUUAAGUAGAUCAUAUUUCAGGAGAGAAUUCAUAAAGUAGAA